rnacentral:rRNA from 1 species
AACGAACGCUGGCGGCAUGCCUAACACAUGCAAGUCGAACGAGGCCUUCGGGUCUAGUGGCGCACGGGUGCGUAACGCGUGGGAACCUGCCCUUAGGUUCGGAAUAACUCCCCGAAAGGGGUGCUAAUACCGGAUAAUGUCUUCGGACCAAAGAUUUAUCGCCUUUGGAUGGGCCCGCGUUGGAUUAGCUAGUUGGUAGGGUAAAAGCCUACCAAGGCGACGAUCCAUAGCUGGUCUGAGAGGAUGAUCAGCCACACUGGGACUGAGACACGGCCCAGACUCCUACGGGAGACAGCAGUGGGGAAUAUUGGACAAUGGGCGAAAGCCUGAUCCAGCAAUGCCGCGUGAGUGAUGAAGGCCUUAGGGUUGUAAAGCUCUUUUACCCGGGAUGAUAAUGACAGUACCGGGAGAAUAAGCUCCGGCUAACUCCGUG